rnacentral:lncRNA from 1 species
AUGCCUGCCGGGGGCGGGGGGAGCACGCUCGGGAGCGGAGCUCAGGCAGGCAGGCGGCGGCAAUGCUGUAACAGAGCCCUGCGACACACCGACCUAGGUAGGAUGGAGGAGAGCCACAGUUUUCCCUCUCCUACCUCUAACGUUGCACGCCCGGCUCGGAGGGUGGUGAAAAAGAGAAAAUUGCCAAGACUUACUGGGUGGCAGGAAGUGGAUUCACUAUAAUCAACAGCAGCAGGGGACUCUUUGAGAUGGGUGAACCAGAAGAUAUACCAAAGGAACUACUGAGUUUCCACUCUAAACAAACACAAUUCCUUUUGAUAAUCCUGAAGAUGUUGUCUCAUCAUUCAGACUCGCAGCAGAAUAACUGAAUUUGGCAGAUAUUUUCUGUGAAAUGUCUUCUCUUUAUCGGUGCUUUUAUGUGUUAGCAAGCGCAAAAGAAAAGGAGGGAAGGGAACCAAGAUACAUAAAGUUAUAUCCUCAUUGCAGUCAAAAUGUUUUUUCACUCAAGUACAAUACUCUAGCAGCGUGUCAUGUACAGUGGUAAAUGAAGAGGCCUCCUCAACCUAAUAUGAUAUAAAAUCCUAGUAGAAGCAAAGCGCUGUAUUUUCUUAUUUUGAUGUAGCUGGUUGACAUCAACUCCAAGUAAGAGACACAUGGUUGGUCUUGACUGGCUACCUGGAUAUAAAAAUUGCCUGUGUCUUGUCUCCACUAGGACUGUACCUUUUAUGAUGUUAAAAAAAAAGUUUUUUUUUUAAACUUCAUAUUGGAGGACAAAGCCUAAUACAACAGUACAGCACACCGGAACAGUGCUAGGUUGAAGGACAUAAUUUCUCCCUUCUUUUGUUUUCUUCAGUCGUUAAACUGGGGCAACAAUUUUUUCCUGUGGUAUGAAUAAUAAAUAGGCUGUUCUGCCAGCCCA